UCUCGGAUCAGAUCGAGCCAUUGCUGGUUUCUUCCACAGUGGUACUUUCCAUUAGAACUAUCACCGGGUGGAAACUAGCAGUGGCUCGAUCUUUUCC
ensembl:miRNA mir-35 ncRNA